GUCCCCUUCGUCUAGGGGACUAAAACACUGCCCUGAAAGGGCAGUAACAAAGGUUCAAAUCCCCUAGGGGACGCCA
rnacentral:tRNA from 1 species